rnacentral:tRNA from 1 species
GCCGGAAUGGCGGAACUGGCAGACGCAACGGACUCAAAAUCCGUCGGUCCUCGCGGACCGUGAGGGUUCAAGUCCCUCUUCCGGCACCA